CAAGUCGAACGCGAAAGUGGAGCAAUCCAUGAGUAGAGUGGCAAACGGGUGAGUAACGCGUGGGUGACCUGCCUUCGAGCGGGGGAUAACGUUUCGAAAGGGACGCUAAUACCGCAUGACAUCCUGCCUUUGAACAGGUGGAGAUCAAAGCUGGGGAUCGCAAGACCUAGCACUCGAAGAGGGGCCCGCGUCUGAUUAGCUAGUUGGUGGGGUAACGGCUCACCAAGGCGACGAUCAGUAUCCGGCCUGAGAGGGCGGACGGACACACUGGGACUGAGACACGGCCCAGACUCCUACGGGAGGCAGCAGUGGGGAAUUGUUCGCAAUGGGCGCAAGCCUGACGACGCAACGCCGCGUGGAGGAUGAAGACCUUCGGGUCGUAAACUCCUUUCGAUCGAGACGAAUGGCCCUUGGGCUAAUCACCAGGGGAAUGACGGUACCGAGAGAAGAAGCCCCGGCUAACUCCGUGCCAGCAGCCGCGGUAAUACGGGGGGGGCAAGCGUUGUUCGGAAUUACUGGGCGUAAAGGGCUCGUAGGCGGCCAACUAAGUCAGACGUGAAAUCCCUCGGCUUAACCGGGGAACUGCAUCUGAUACUGGAUGGCUUGAGGUUGGGAGAGGGAUGCGGAAUUCCAGGUGUAGCGGUGAAAUGCGUAGAUAUCUGGAGGAACACCGGUGGCGAAGGCGGCAUCCUGGACCAAUUCUGACGCUGAGUGAGCGAAAGCCAGGGGAGCAAACGGGAUUAGAUACCCCGGUAGUCCUGGCCCUAAACGAUGAAUGCUUGGUGUGGCGGGUAUCGAUCCCUGCCGUGCCGAAGCUAACGCAUUAAGCAUUCCGCCUGGGGAUACGGUCGCAAGGCUGAAACUCAAAG
rnacentral:rRNA from 1 species